AGAAAGGGUGGAGCUGAGUACACCACACAUGGAUAUGAUGGUCUCCCCUAUGUUCUUUUUGGCAAUCCAGUUAAUCACUGACUCAACUUUGUAUGGGGCGCUUCCGAUGCACAAAUGGUGGCGGUGAAGCAGCAGGCCCGAGAGAGCGUGCAGGGGAGGAAGGAGUUCCUGGUGGAGGUGCUGAUACUGGCGGUGCUCAGCCACCCUAACUUCGUCAGCCUGAUCGGCUUCUGCGCGCAGGGGACAAGCGCUGCUGUUGUACGAGUACAUGCCCUUCGGCAGCCUGGAGAGUCAUCUCUUUGGAAACACGUUAAUUAUGUAAGAGACGAUAGGAGUAAUGACAUCAUAGCUCGGGCGUCUUGGGAGGAAAGUGGCGUCGGUGGUGCUGAGCCAGAACAAGUUCACUGGCUCUCCUUCUACCUGCUGGAGCAUAUGGACGUGUCACGGAAGCCCUUCGUCGGGCCGUUCCUGUUGGCGCUACUGUCUGUCCAGUACCUGAGCAUAGCCGGCAACAGGUUCACCCAGGCGCUAUCCGACAAGGGUCCUGCUGGGACAACCUCCAGCUUGUCGACCUGAUGGGGAGCAUCCCCCCCCCCCCACACUAUCACCAUCCUAUCCAACCAGCCGCCAAGCAUCUACUACUGCUCCCACUGGAUAUGCACUUAUAUAUGAAUAGCGUGCAUACAUCUGCACAACUGCAUAACAGUCACAAAUGAUUGUUUUGUGAAUCUGCAGAGAAUCUAAUUAUCCAUGUACGGCAAUAGCCAGAUUAAUUUGUUUACCCAAAAUUAUCAAGCGGUUCCAUUAUAUAUAUUCACUUUGGAAGGCAAAAAUUAUAUGUUGGCUGGUUGCCCGAGAAAUCAAAAAGGCUAAAUCUUGAGUUGUAUGGAGCAUGGUCAUUUGCUUGAAGUUUCCAAUGGACUGUAUAUACCAUUGAAUGAGAGGAAUUAUUCCAUGAGUGUGGACAAAUUGAGCUGAUCGAUUGAUUGAGAAAAUAUUGUGUGGAUGUUCUCAGAUCUCCUUGCUCCACUACUCCUUGGAUUAUUACCUUUGUCCAUAUAUUUUGGUUUAUCUGAGCUGAAGGUAACCUUCUUAAACUAUCCAUAAAAAUAGUUCAAAUUGUUAAUUAAUUGUUUGCUUAAUUGUGUUGUCUAUCUAUUCUUUUGCACAUAGAAGAUAUAACCUGCAAAUCUGCACAUGCUUUUGCCAAUGUAUCCAUCCUGAUAUUUCUUAUAAUGUGGAAGUUAUCAGAGCCCUUUUUUAAGCAUCCACUUUGAGUUCACCGGUGGCAGGUAGCUUGUACAAUACUGAAUUUUCAAGGUAACAAAAUCGGUUAUGCGUUGCAGCAAAAUCGAAUGUGGUAGAGAAAAUAUUCAGGCUUCGUAGCGAAACAAUGCCUCUGUUAGGAUAGUACACCCAGAUCCCCGAUGCAUUUGGUUUAUUAUGAUGUAUUGAUACUGAAGUUUGUACCAUAUCUUGAAUUAUGAUUUCAGCAGUGAUAAUAUACUCUAGAUAAAAGGAUGGACACAUAAGCUUGGGACAUGAUUGUGGCCGCUGUACUUCAAGAAGGUGCGGAGCUACGGUGAGCAGCAGGUUGCAUCGUCAUGGUGGUCGCCCUCGACCACGAUGGUGUGCACACCUUGGCACCAGGAAUUGGCUUGGGACGCC